UGCAGUCACACGAGAAAGCGCCUUCGGGCGUGAGUACAGUGGCGGACGGGUGAGUAACGCGUAUGCAACCUACCCUUGAGCGGGGGACAAUCACGGGAAACCGUGGCUAAUACCGCAUAAAAUCUCGGUUGCGCCUGCAACCGAGAUCAAAGCCUUCGGGCGCUCUUGGAUGGGCAUGCGUCGGAUUAGCUUGUUGGUGAGGUAGAAGCUCACCAAGGCAACGAUCCGUAGCUGGUCUGAGAGGAUGAUCAGCCACACUGGCACUGAGACACGGGCCAGACUCCUACGGGAGGCAGCAGUGGGGAAUCUUGCACAAUGGAGGAAACUCUGAUGCAGCCACGCCGCGUGGAGGAAGACACCCCUAUGGGGCGUAAACUCCUUUUCUGCCGGAAGAAAACCCUGGUCUCCAGGGCGUGACGGUACGGCAGGAAUAAGCACCGGCUAACUCCGUGCCAGCAGCCGCGGUAAUACGGAGGGUGCAAGCGUUGUCCGGAAUUACUGGGUGUAAAGGGUGCGCAGGCGGGGCAGCAAGUCAGAGGUGAAAGCCCACGGCUUAACCGUGGAAGUGCCUUUGAAACUGCUGUUCUUGAGUCCCGGAGAGGUCGUCGGAAUUCGUGGUGUAGCGGUGAAAUGCGUAGAUAUCACGAGGAACACCAGAGGCGAAAGCGGACGACUGGACGGGUACUGACGCUCAGGCACGAAAGCGUGGGGAGCAAACAGGAUUAGAUACCCUGGUAGUCCACGCCGUAAACGAUGGACGUUAGACGUUGCCUCCUCUGA
rnacentral:rRNA from 1 species